rnacentral:tRNA from 1 species
GCUUUCAAAGGAUAACAGUAAUCUAAUGGUCUUAGGAGCCAUCUAUCUUGGUGCAAAUCCAAGUGAAAGUA